rnacentral:pre_miRNA from 11 species
GACCGCACGGGAUAUUCUAUUAUCCCGUGCGGUUUCGUUAUACCAACCGCACGGGAUAAUCUAUUAUCCCGUGCGGCC